rnacentral:rRNA from 1 species
GCCUCAAAUCAGGUAGGACUACCCGCUGAACUUAAGCAUAU